UAGGGAAUCUUCGGCAAUGGACGAAAGUCUGACCGAGCAACGCCGCGUGAGUGAAGAAGGUUUUCGGAUCGUAAAACUCUGUUGUUAGAGAAGAACAAGGACGUUAGUAACUGAACGUCCCCUGACGGUAUCUAACCAGAAAGCCACGGCUAACUACGUGCCAGCAGCCGCGGUAAUACGUAGGUGGCAAGCGUUGUCCGAAUUUAUUGGGCGUAAAGCGAGCGCAGGCGGUUUCUUAAGUCUGAUGUGAAAGCCCCCGGCUCAACCGGGGAGGGUCAUUGGAAACUGGGAGACUUGAGUGGAGAAGAGGAGAGUGGAAUUCCAUGUGUAGCGGUGAAAUGCGUAGAUAUAUGGAGGAACACAGUGGCGAAGGCGGCUCUCUGGUCUGUAACUGACGCUGAGGCUCGAAAGCGUGGGGAGCAAACAGG
rnacentral:rRNA from 1 species